rnacentral:rRNA from 1 species
AUGGGUUUCACCGUCGGGAUUUGCUGGAGGGGGUUGAGGGGCUGCAGGGUAGGGGUAGCGAUGAUGACCAUCCCGGGGAUUGUUGGUCACAAUCCCGUUGGAGCGUGUUCCCAAAAAGCGACGAAGCACUUCUGGGGACAUCAAAGUAUUUUGGUCGAUGACUGGGGCAGACCUCAAGGACUCGAUCGGUUGUUCGAACAACACGACUGGGUUGUCGGCGUCGGGCUCAUCUUCUCCUCUUGCCGGGGCUUGGAGUAUCAGUUCUCCAUGUGCUGCGAUCAGAUCAAGAGUGAUUUGAUCGAACAGAUCCUCUAG